UGAUACAGCCUUACCACGGACACGCCCAACCUCGUCUGAUCGCGGAAGCUAAGCAUGAUAGGGCCUGGUUUGUACUUGGAUGGGAGACUGCCUGGGAAUACCAGGUGAUGUAAGUG
rnacentral:rRNA from 10 species